AUGUGCCUGGGAGCCGUGGGGUUUUUGGCUAUUUGGCCUCAUGCUUUUUCUCCGCUCCACCCCCAGCACUGUUGGCGUGAAGGAGCUGCAGGCUCACUGCACAGCCAGGUGCUUGUGCAACAGGAGGAAAACGCAUCUGUUUGUGCUCUCAUUCUGAGUGCAGGUUUGUUUGGAGUCCUUAAAGUCAGACCUGUGAAUGGACCUUGUUCUGCUGGAGAGAGACCACGACCCUUCCAUGAAAGCACAGCUCCUGGCACUCACCAGCUCGUGAUCUUGCAGCUGUGACUGCUGAGCCUGAAAUACUUCAUCUGUUAGAGGGGUGAGCAUUCAUCUACCCGUUCCCUUGAAAGACUAUGAAUGUCUACUACACGCUGCGCAAAGGCAAAUAAGACAUAGUCCUUGUUCUCACUGGCUUGGCUGAGGUGGAGACCCUCAUGAAAAUUCAGUGGUCCCUUGGCUUCCACAGGGAUUGCUUCUGUGACCCCUUUUGGUUACUCAAAUCCAUGGAAGCUUGAAUCCUUAUAUAAACUGGUGUAGUAUUUCCAUAGAACCUAUCCACAGGCUCCGAAGGCUUUAAGUCGUCUCUAUAAUACCUAUUACAAUAUAAUUGCUGUGUCAAUAGUUGUGCAGCCAGAGAUUUUUUUCCUUUUUCCUCAAUGUUUUGAUCUGGGGUUGGUUGGAUCCAUGAAGAGAAGUGUGCGGCUGCACCAUAAAUUUCCUGAACUGUGGUCAGUGUUUCCUACACCCAGUGAGGGUGGGGUGGUGGUGGUGACUUGUUCUACCUGGGAACCAGAGGUGUGGGGAACACCGGCCAUAGGUGACAGAGGACAGUGAGUAUUGUGUGUCAAAGUUCUCUGCUAAUGACAGUAACAGAAAACGUUCCCCAGCGGGGCCUAGGCACUGGGUAUUCAGGUGAACCCUGGAGGACCUUCCAUCUCGCCUCAGCAACAUGUGCGUCUUGGCUAGUGGCUAUUAUUAUCUCCCAAUUGAUGAGGAGAUUGAAGCCUAUGGAGAUUAGGCAACACACUCAAGGUCAAACACCGAAAAUGACAACCUCAAAAUUCUACCGCAGGUGGUAGCCCCCCAGAGCCCCUCGGGGUAACCACGAAACCACGCUUGCCUUCCUCUUGCUCUCCUGCGUGAUGUGAAGCAGGCAGGGUUCGUCUGCCUCCUGCAGGGUGGUGGUAGCAGCAGCACCUGAAGUGGAAAAUGAAGUUGAGGGUGGGGAAGGUGGGUGGGAGAACAGGGUUUGCCAGGAGGUAGCCAGGCUCACAGCAGGUUUUACCAGUAAGAGGUUACUCAAAACUAAAACGAAAAAAAAAAAUGAUGUAAAUUCAGUUCCUCAUUUCGGUUUGUUUCUUCCAGAUGAUAUUUCUUUUCUUACUUAGUUCAAACUGAAAAAGACAUUGGUGAUUUUUUUUAACCUUUUUAAAACCCAAGAUGGAAAGAAUAAUGGGUCACAAAAUAAAGACAAAUGAACUCUCA
rnacentral:lncRNA from 1 species